UAUAUGAUCCUACCAGACUCCAUUAGCAAAUGCAGUAAUUUUACCUCACAGGCCAUCGUAAAACACACUAACGAUACAUUCAAAUUCGACAGAAACAAAAUAAAACUCACAUUAACCAUCUUGAUUUGUCUUUUCAUCGUUUCAACAAUCACUAGGUCUGGUUUGGUCGAAAUAAAUCAGGUGUAAUUCACCGAGUUAGAUUAAAUUGACGGGACAAGCAGGGAAACAUCGGGUAACGUUAACAUUAGACGAGUUAACUCUGUAACGGUGUUUUUGCAACGUUCGCCGGCUAAACGUCCACUGUCAUUUCAAACUAAAAGAUAUGUUCACUAUAGGGUAAAAUCCUAAAACCUAAUUAUAAAAUUUAAAAUUAACUUACCAAACUUCCAGAUUUCCACCGAGAAGAGAAUAUCCAUGAGUGAGCUGCUGCAGUUGUGUUGUAACGUCGUCUGUCAGGUGACGUGCUGUUUACAGCAAUUCUGUAUUAGUGCCUGGCAUAUAACAGCCAAGUUACAGCUUGGUUACAGCAACACUAAAAUAUUCUGUAAAAUGUUCCCGCUCAAACCAUAUUACCCAGAAUGCAAUGCAAAUUACAGUAUAUUACUGUAAUAUAAAAAUGCAGUAUUGUACUGUAGGUUUUUACAGUAAUGUGCUGCUAAAUCUACAGCGACAUUUAACAGUGUACAGGAAAUAUUUUACACAGACAAGUCAGACUGAUGAAACCACCCUGAAUGAGAAAAAGAUGAAGUCUUUUGGAGGACUGCUUCAUUUUCUAAAAUCAGACAUCAAUGUGCUUAAACAAUAUAAAAGUACAUUUGAUAAUCCACAGUCUGAUAAUGAAACCCAAACCGUUCUCUACAUCCUUGCCAACAUCAUCUUGAGUCAGUCGGGUGAUCCGUGUGAAAAAAUAGAAGAUCUUCAGGCCAGGUUACAGAAACUUUGGCUGAAGGAAAUGAAAGACAGAAGCCCAGAGUUUUACCUCUUGAUUCUUUUGCUCUUUUGGCCUGAUGAAGCACAGCCAGGAAUCACAAACCCUCCAAACCUUGAAAAGUGUCUCAGAAAAAUGUGUCAUUCAUACAAGAGAAAGUAUCAGAAAUACCUCCGCGGUCGCUACCUGGUGCCUCUGUUCUUCUUCGGGAAAGGAAAAGGUUUGGAGAGACUGGUUCACGCCUCAAAACUACAUCAAAUUGAUCUGGAGCUCCUCACUGAAGGACAUGAACAUGCAGACGUCGAAUGUCUUCAGCGUAUCAACGGGGAAGUCAAGAAUUACAUGGAGGUCGAUGAUGACAGAGUGUUUGCUGUUAGAGAUGGACAACAGAUUCCAGUCACUACUCACAAUCCGUCCAGUGUGUGCAAACCAGGCCACAUGUCUUUCUACCUGGGCUUCACCAUCAGAGGACCAGUCGCCUACAACAUCAGAUAUGAAGAGGACUAGAUCACAUGUGAACUCUGUGAUUUAACGUUAGAGCAGUUGACUGUGGGAUCGAACGAGUCUCAAAUGUCCUCAGAUGGCACAAAUGUUUAAAUGUCUUCUUAAUAUUUGUGUUUCUAAGUUCUGAAGAAACAAAGGGGUGGGGGGGCAAGUUGAUAAUUAUUAGUUAUAAGUAGAGUUCAGUUACUUAUUCUUAGAGG
ensembl:lncRNA